AGGACUAACGCUGGCGGCGUGCCUAACACAUGCAAGUCGAACGAGGUAGCAAUACCUAGUGGCAGACGGGUGAGUAACACGUGGUCAACCUGCCUUCGCGUGGGGGAUAACUAGUCGAAAGGUUAGCUAAUACCGCAUACGAUCGUUUCGGGGCAUCCCGAGACGAUGAAAGGAGCAAUCCGCACGAAGAGGGGACUGCGUCCCAUUAGUUAGUUGGUGGGGUAAUGGCCUACCAAGACUCCGAUGGGUAGCUGGCUUGAGAGAGCGACCAGCCACACUGGAACUGAGACACGGUCCAGACUCCUACGGGAGGCAGCAGUGAGGAAUUUUCCGCAAUGGGCGAAAGCCUGACGGAGCGACGCCGCGUGUGGGAAGAAGGCCUUCGGGUCGUAAACCACUGUCGAAGGGGACGAUAUUGACGGUACCCUUGGAGGAAGCCCGGCUAACUACGUGCCAGCAGCCGC
rnacentral:rRNA from 1 species